CUCUAUUUACAUCUGAGUGUCGCUAUGCUUCAAAUACCUUAAUGUGAUUAGAUUUUUCUUGCGAGGCAAGUGUUGAUGACUCGUUUAUGGUGACAGCCACAUCAUUAAUUCAAAGCUUGGUCCAGCGUUCAUCAUCGUUGGCUUCCAGAUGGGAUCACCGGUAGAAAUAUAAUAGAUACAUCCGUUACUGCCAGAAACCUAACAAUCAAAAGCUCACGAACUAUGCUUGUACUGCUCGGUCUUCGGAACAAUGCGUGAACUGCGCUCGUCAUCUGCCGUAGUAUGAUAACAUCAGUUUUUGCUGAACGAGAUCGUGGGAUGUGCAGGAAUGGCCACGUAGUCGCAAACCGCUUUUUAAUCUACCGAGGUGUGAUAUACGUGGUGAUCUUUUCUUGACCACGUCGGGUCCCUCACGUGGAUUGUUCCUGUUAGGUAUUUUCCGCUCGUUUCGCUGUCGUUGAAUUAAUCUAGCGUUGUUCAGACGACUAUGCUAGCGGUUGUGCCUUUGAAACCGCUUCGUUUCACCACUCUAGCUUGCUGCUUCGUCUAGCUUUUCGCCGGACCACGGAAAUGUUUAAAUUUCGCGCCUACACCGGAUGUUAGUAUAACCCAAUCUAGGCCGGCUAUUUUUCCACCCAGAGCCUUUACUACCGGGCGAGCUACUACUUAUGUCUUGCGCAGUCAUAAUCAAAUCAGUGUUAUGUGGCUACCAGCUUCAAUGAAUGGGCAAUAUUAUUAGACGAUAGCAGCAUAUCGGACAUACUGUGAUAGCUGUGGCAGCAAAGCAUCACUCUGUCGUCGUACAGGCUGUUGAUGGUAUCGACAGUAACCUAAUUCGAGCGUCUGGCAAAUCAGUUGGGCGAUUGCUAGGUCUAAUUCCUGCAGGUGUUUGUUGUCGUGUGUAUACCUAACGAACGCACAUAAGGCGUGCAGGUGUAAGUCGAAAAUCUAACUAGCCGCAUACCUUACCACGGCAUUGAAUUUCAUGUGGUUGUAUAUGCAAGUCUACCGAACAAGCAGUGGGAGACUAGGGCAGGUAAGUGUCUGCAGAUGUCAUCAAGUGAGCCUACACUUGUCAGAAAAGUAUUGAGUGCUCAGUGAAACACUCCUUUUAUAGAUGAUAAUAAAUCCUGUUAAGAACGACGAUGCUGCAUUUGAGCUGCUGCUCCCUCACUAAAGAAAGUAUCAAGCUUUGUUAACCAAGGUAGUGAUACUGGUAAA